UUUCUACAAGCAAAACUGACCGGCCAAGAGGACAAGUGGUCUAGUUCCUGUGAAUAUAAAUAUGGCCAGUGAACUAUGCCUGAAGGAAGGAAGUAGAAACGUAGGAAAACUGAAAGAAAGUUCACUGAAUUUGCAAAUUAAGAUGAUUCUACUGGAGAUUACCCUUAAAUGGAUCUACACUUCAGAGAUUCAGUCACAAAUUUGAGUAUUUAUGGAAUAUAGUGGCCUGCAAGUAACAUUCCAUUCCCGAUGCAUGUCUACAGUGUCAUGAGAACUGAGAACAGACUUCCACUGUGGAAUGAAUGAUACCAGUGAGGAUUCGGCAAUCCUCAAUCAGUGUGAGCUUAAACUAGUCAAGGAAAAGUUCUCUUUACCUUAAAUGGAAAGAAGAUGCUCAAAGAUCAGAAACUUGCAUCAGUGUGCCAAUGAAGUGACACUAUAAUAUGGCCCUCCUAAAAUUAUCAAUUAUUCAGGCUUGAAUUUUGCCACUGGAGUGGGAAAUAUCUAAAGAAAGAAGAGAGAGAAAUGACCAAGGAAUGGAAGGGGAAAGAGGUCUGUGCAGGCCCAAAUGAAAAAGA
rnacentral:lncRNA from 1 species